GCCCGAGUAGCUCAGCUGGCCAGAGCACCCGCCUUGUAAGCGGGUGGUCGUGGGUUCGAGUCCCACCUCGGGCU
rnacentral:tRNA from 1 species